GAUGAACGCUGGCGGCGUGCCUAAUACAUGCAAGUCGAGCGAGCAGACUAGGUGCUUGCUCUUCUAACGUUAGCGGCGGACGGGUGAGUAACACGUGGAUAAGCUACCUAGAAGUCUGGGAUAACUUGGGGUAACCGGAGCAAAUACCGGAUAUACUAUUAAACCGCAUGGUUCAUUAGUGAAUGACGGUUUUGCUGUCACUUAUAGAUGGAUCUGGGCCUCAUUGUCUAGUUGUGACGGUAACGCCUUAGCAAGGCAACGAUGCGUAGCCGACCUGUGCGCGUUAUCGGCCACACUCAAUCUGUGACACGGCUCAGACUCCUACGGGAGGCGACAGUUAGGGGUCUUCCGCAAUGCACGAGAGUAUUACGGAACAUCGUCGCGUGAGAUAUGAUGCGCUUCGGUUCGUAAUACGCUUCUAUUAGGGAAGAACAAGUGUGUUAGCAGCCACACCCUUCUUGACGGUACCGAAUCAAGAAGCCACGGCUAACUCCGGG
rnacentral:rRNA from 1 species